GAUUAUUCUAGAGGACACAGCACAGUAACAGCCACAUGGAAGAAAUACAUAGGAAAGGCUCUCCCUUAGUUGAGAAAACCGGACGAACACCAUUUGGCUCCUUCAUUUACAAGACAUCAAGGACUCCUCACCCAUCCCCUUCCUCAAGGAGUUAACUUGUGUAAGCAGAUCGAAGAGUCCAAUUAACUGAUAAGGGCGGUGGGAGAACCUGAGGACAGGAUCUCUGAAGGAAUAGUAACAUGGUGUACAGGAAGAAUUGAUGUUUGCUGGGAACCUGACACACUCC
rnacentral:lncRNA from 10 species